rnacentral:rRNA from 1 species
CAGCCGCCGCGGGAAAACGUAGGUGGCAAGCGUUGUCCGGAAUUAUUGGGUGUAAAGGGCUCGCAGGCGGUUUCUUAAGUCUGAUGUGAAAGCCCCCGGCUCAACCGGGGAGGGUCAUUGGAAACUGGGAAACUUGAGUGCAGAAGAGGAGAGUGGAAUUCCACGUGUAGCGGUGAAAUGCGUAGAGAUGUGGAGGAACACUAGUGGCGAAGGCGACUCUCUGGUCUGUAACUGGCGCUGAGGAGCGAAAGCGUGGGGAGCGAACAGGAUUAGAUACCCCCGUAGUCCCUGUCUCUUAUAC